rnacentral:rRNA from 1 species
UACGAAGGGUGCAACCGUUGCUCGGAAUCAUUGGGCGUAAAGCGCACGUAGGCGGCCUUGCAAGUCGGAUGUGAAAUCCCACGGCUCAACCGUGGACGUGCAUCCGAAACUGCUCGGCUCGAGUAUGGAAGAGGGUCGCGGAAUUCCCGGUGUAGAGGUGAAAUUCGUAGAUAUCGGGAGGAACACCAGUGGCGAAGGCGGCGACCUGGGCCAAUACUGACGCUGAGGUGCGAAAGCGUGGGGAGCAAACAGG